GAAGAAAAAAGGAGGCGAAGACUUCGCCGUCUGGCGUUCAAAACUGCCACCUCGUAAGGAUGGGAAGAUAGAAAGAAAAUGGGGGUUGGGACUAACGUUUGACGUCUUCAGCCAAAUAAUGUGUUCUGGCCCUACGUUCCUUAUUGGCUGGACCAAAGGACGAGCGAUUUCACAGAGAAAAGUGUUACAUGUCUCCAGAUGGGGCAGAAGGAAUUCAACAAGGCCCUUCAACAUGAAAGUCGAGCUUGACAUCUGUCAAAGGCACUCUUUUACAAAUAGAUACACCGUCCACAGCCUUGACACAAACUCAACUGUGGGAUAGAAAAGGCCACCACAGUCUGUAAAAAACAAUAGAGGGUUUUUUCUUCCGCACGGCCACCAACUUCAUCUGAUUGCCAACUUGAUAAAUCUUCCCAGUCAUUGCGAGAGUUAUAUCGUCUUGUGAUUGAGGGACGGAUUUGCCUUUCCCUUGGACGGCCUUGCUUUGCAGUUACUUCACUCGGCGGAAUGGUUGUAGCUUCCAUUUCACUUGGCGGUAUGGUUUUAGCUUCCAUUUCACUCGGCGGUAUGGUUGUAGCUUCCAUUUCACUCGGCGAAAUGGUUGAAUAACAAAACCAUCGAAUUGUAAAUUGGCUGAUCCUGAUUGUCCAUGUCUGAAUUGUCUAAGCAAUCGACAUUCUUUAAUUCAUCUUCCAAAAAGUUUAUUCUCACAUUUAAGGCGCAUCGAGGAAUUACCGUGCAUCUAAUAGCUUCUAACACCGUUCCCUGAUUCCAUUCUCAACCCCUAAUAACAGUUCCCUGCCUUUUUUAUUUCCGUUUAAGUCGUGAACACACGCUGAAACAAGAUUUCUGUACAUUCGACAGGUUCGAAAAUAGAACGAAUGAUAUUUAUUUGAUUGUUAUGCAUGUAAAAAAUAUAUCCGUUUCAUAACUAA